GGAAGGUCCGGGCGUUAUCCGGAUUUAUUGGGUUUAAAGGGAGCGUAGGCGGAUUGUUAAGUCAGUUGUGAAAUGUAGACGCUCAACGUCUGCACUGCAGCGCGAACUGGUUUCCUUGAGUACGCACAAAGUGGGCGGAAUUCGUGGUGUAGCGGUGAAAUGCUUAGAUAUCACGAAGAACUCCGAUUGCGAAGGCAGCUCACUGGAGCGCAACUGACGCUGAAGCUCGAAAGUGCGGGUAUCGAACAGGAUUAGAUACCCUGGUAGUCCGCACGGUAAACGAUGGAUGCCCGCUGUUGGUCUGAACAGGUCAGCGGCCAAGCGAAAGCAUUAAGCAUCCCACCUGGGGAGU
rnacentral:rRNA from 1 species